rnacentral:rRNA from 1 species
UGGACAGGGAGACAGGUGGUGCAUGGUUGUCGUCAGCUCGUGUCGUGAGAUGUUGGGUUAAGUCCCGCAACGAGCGCAACCCCUACGUUUAGUUGCUAACGCGUGAAGGCGAGCACUCUAGACGAACUGCCGUUGACAAAACGGAGGAAGGUGGGGAUGACGUCAAAUCAUCAUGCCCCUUAUGUUCUGGGCUACACACGUGCUACAAUGGCCGGUACAGACGGACGCAAAGCCGCGAGGUGGAGCAAAUCCUAAAAAGCCGGUCUCAGUUCGGAUUGCAGGCUGCAAUUCGCCUGCAUGAAGUCGGAAUCGCUAGUAAUCGCAGGUCAGCAUACUGCGGUGAAUACGUUCCCGGGCCUU